rnacentral:rRNA from 1 species
UUUCGGUUAAAUCUAUAUGCUCAACAUAUAGGCUGCCGGGAAUACUGCAAAGCUAGGGAAUGGGAGAGGUAGACGGUACUCCGUAGGAAGGGGUAAAAUCCUUUGAUCUAUGGAUGACCACCUGUGGUGAAGGCGGUCUACCAGAACAUGUCCGACGGUGAGGGAUGAAAGCUGGGGGAGCAAACCGGAUUAGAUACCCGGGUAGUCCCAGCUGUAAACUAUGCAAACUCAGUGAUGCAUUGGCUUGUGGCCAGUGCAGUGCCGCAGGGAAGCCGUUAAGUUUGCCGCCUGGGAAGUACGUACGCAAGUAUGAAACUUAAAGGAAUUGGCGGGGGAGCACCACAAGGGGUGAAGCCUGCGGUUCAAUUGGAGUCAACGCCAGAAAUCUUACCCGGAGAGACAGCAGAAUGAAGGUCAAGUUGAAGACUUUACCAGACAAGCUGAGAAGUGGUGCAUGGCCGUCGCCAGCUCGUGCCGUGAGAUGUCCUGUUAAGUCAGGUAACGAGCGAGAUCCUUGCCUCUAGUUGCCACCAUUACUCUCAGGAGUAGUGGGGCGAAUUAGCGGGACUGCCGUAGUUAAUACGGAGGAAGGAGAGGGCCACGGCAGGUCAGUAUGCCCUGAAACUCUGGGGCCACACGCGGGCGGCAAUGGUAGUGACAAUGGGUUCCGAAUCCGAAAGGAGGAGGUAAUCCUCAAACGCUACCACAGUUAUGACUGAGGGCUGCAACUCCCCUCCCGAAUAUGGAAUCCUAGUAACUGCGUGUCAUUA